GCGCCUGUAGCUCAACUGGAUAGAGCGUCUGACUACGGAUCAGGAGGUUGGGGGUUCGAGUCCUCCCGGGCGCACCA
rnacentral:tRNA from 1 species